rnacentral:rRNA from 1 species
UGAGGAAUAUUGGUCAAUGGGCGCAGGCCUGAACCAGCCAAGUAGCGUGAAGGAUGACUGCCCUAUGGGUUGUAAACUUCUUUUAUAAAGGAAUAAAGUCGGGUAUGUAUACCCGUUUGCAUGUACUUUAUGAAUAAGGAUCGGCUAACUCCGUGCCAGCAGCCGCGGUAAUACGGAGGAUCCGAGCGUUAUCCGGAUUUAUUGGGUUUAAAGGGAGCGUAGAUGGAUGUUUAAGUCAGUUGUGAAAGUUUGCGGCUCAACCGUAAAAUUGCAGUUGAUACUGGAUAUCUUGAGUGCAGUUGAGGCAGGCGGAAUUCGUGGUGUAGCGGUGAAAUGCUUAGAUAUCACGAAGAACUCCGAUUGCGAAGGCAGCCUGCUAAGCUGCAACUGACAUUGAGGCUCGAAAGUGUGGGUAUCAAACAGGAUUAGAUACCCUGGUAGUCCACACGGUAAACGAUGAAUACUCGCUGUUUGCGAUAUACUGCAAGCGGCCAAGCGAAAGCGUUAAGUAUUCCACCUGGGGAGUACGCCGGCAACGGUGAAACUCAAAGGAAUUGACGGGGGCCCGCACAAGCGGAGGAACAUGUGGUUUAAUUCGAUGAUACGCGAGGAACCUUACCCGGGCUUAAAUUGCAGAUGAAUUACGGUGAAAGCCGUAAGCCGCAAGGCAUCUGUGAAGGUGCUGCAUGGUUGUCGUCAGCUCGUGCCGUGAGGUGUCGGCUUAAGUGCCAUAACGAGCGCAACCCUUGUUGUCAGUUACUAACAGGUUCCGCUGAGGACUCUGACAAGACUGCCAUCGUAAGAUGUGAGGAAGGUGGGGAUGACGUCAAAUCAGCACGGCCCUUACGUCCGGGGCUACACACGUGUUACAAUGGGGGGUACAGAGGGCCGCUACCACGCGAGUGGAUGCCAAUCCCCAAAACCUCUCUCAGUUCGGACUGGAGUCUGCAACCCGACUCCACGAAGCUGGAUUCGCUAGUAAUCGCGCAUCAGCCAUGGCGCGGUGAAUACGUUCCC